CAAAAGCAAAGAGAAGAGAAAACGGAGUUGGAAAGAGAAAGUGAGUUUGCUCCCUAGAUUAGGCUGUUUUGGGAAACGCCCAGUUGGUCGUCUAGGUUUGACCUUCAAGUAUGACCAGCAGCGGUCGAUUGAGCUUAAGAAAUUUUGUGGAAUUUUAAUAAUUUCUAAAUGCAAAGGUAAAUUUAAACCGGAGCUGACGAUGCGCUCUUGUAAUCUCACAACGCAGAAAGCUGAGGCAGGAGAAUGGUCACCAGUUGCAGGCCACCCUAGACUACACAGCAAAGCUCUGCCUCAGAAAAUGCUGGAGAUUACAGGAGUGUACACCACAUGCCUGGAUUACGUGACAUGGGGAAUUCAACCGCGGGCAUCAUCAAUGCCAGGCAGGCACUCUACCAACUGACCUGCAUCCGAAGCCCCCAGAUAGAUCACUUCUGUUUGGAAUUUUUCAUCAGUUGAUAGAUAUUCUGUUGUCUCCACUUUGGGCUACUAUGAAGAGACAUGCUGUGAACUUUCCUGUAUUGCUUUAUGUCACAUAAGCCUAUGUUGUCUGUGGUCUGUGGUCUGUGUUCAUUUAUUUUAGGUAUAUAUGUAAGACUGGAAUUGUUGGGUCAUAGGUGAACUGUCUAAUCACUUAAAGAAGUGGCUGAAAUAAAAAAAAUAAUCUGGUUGUUUGGUAUUUUCAUCUAAA